UACGUAGGGACCGAGCGUUGUCCGGAAUCAUUGGGCGUAAAGAGCGUGUAGGCGGCCAUUUAAGUCCUGCGUUAAAUCCUGCGGCUCAACCGCAGGCGGUCGUGGGAAACUGGAUGGCUAGAGUGCGGGAGAGGAGAGUGGAAUUCCUGGUGUAGCGGUGGAAUGCGCAGAUAUCAGGAAGAACACCCGUGGCGAAGGCGGCUCUCUGGAACGCAACUGACGCUGAGACGCGAAAGCGUGGGGAGCAAACAGG
rnacentral:rRNA from 1 species